rnacentral:lncRNA from 1 species
CUCCCAUUUUCCCAAAUCACCAUGGAAACUCCAUAGUUACACAGCUUCCCACCCUAAAGCUCCCCAAAUAGCUGCAAAAUUCACCAUGAUUAACACCAAUUUUCAGCUCAAAGCCGCUGCAAAAACGCAGCACUUCUCCCCCCAAAUCAGUUGCAAAAUCCAGUCGAAGAGCUGCUGAAAAAUAGCCCCGAAACGCAGCAGCAAACAGUCCUAAAAUCAGCACUCCACACUAAGCAAGAACAACUCUAUCUUCAGCCAAAAACCCAGCGAAAAUUCCAAGCCAAAACUCCAUGAAAGGCUGAUGAAAAUCAGUCCAAAAAGCAACAAAAACUCAACAACAAAGCACCAAAAAAUGCUGAUAAAUUCUGCCCUUCAAACAACCACGCAAUCCCAGCUUAAACCGCCGAAAAUCCAGCCUUAAAAUAACCUCAAAACAAAGGUCGUCGGCGAGUCCGACUUCCUCGCCUGAAAUUGUCGUCCGAAGUGUAGUUCGCGGUCCUUGUUCUAUCUUGUUGCUGCUGUAUUUUCGUGAUUGGAUUCGGUAGAUUCGAGGUGAUGUUCUUGCGUUCUCUCGAUUAAUCGAAAAGUUUCGCGCGAUAAGGUUCAAUCCUUUACUCAUUCUAAUGUUAACUAUUUGCUUGGUGAUCCGAUUUUAUGACUUGUUAUCUAUGAUUUUGAAUGUGUCUGCUAGUAUGUCUACUUGAAUUGAUUGCGAGUGAAUUGGAAUCGCACGUUUAGUUACACGAAUCGUAUGCUUACUUUGAAUUGGAAAAUGGAACUGUCAGUUGUUGAACUUAAAAGAGCAAUCUGCGGAGAUGCGGUUAAAAAUAAAAUUGGACCUAAAAUUAUGGAAUGAGAUAAAAUACAGUUGUUAGUAUUCUAAAUUUUUCACUUACGUAGAUCUAUUUACUAAUUUAUCGGAAGGAACAUGCUUAGGCCGUCAACACUUGGGUAAGCAAGCCUUAGGAUUUUUAUUAGUUUUCGUGGCGAGAUGUCGUUCCCUUAAUUAAAUUUAUCCGGAGAAUGCCCCGAGGGAUUUGUAUAUAUUUAUCCAGGGUAUGCCCCGUAGUAUUUGUAUUCGGAGACCGAAAAAUAGAACUUGUAGUAUUUUUGUUUUAUUUUCAAUUUUUUUUUCUUUAUUUUAGGCGGGGACGACCUCGAGCCUCUUUUGUGUUUAUUUUUCUUUUUUUUUGUGACUUUGCCUCAAUUCGAACAUUUUAAAAGCCGUCUAGAUCAAGUACGCAACCGUACUAGUUACAGGACUUGGGGAAUGCCUAACACCUUCUCCCCGAGUCAAAUGAACUCUCUUACCCAAAUCUCCGAUGCAUACUCAAUUUGGAGUCCAAAGUGUUUUAAAGGAAAAAUUAUUUUUUUCAAAAAAAAAACGAUGACCUGGCAUACCGAAAUCAAAUGUCAGGUGGUGACUCUAAGUUAUUUCCUUUUGAACACAAUUUUGUCACGUUCUAAUUGGAAAAUUAUUUUCAAGCUUUACAAAUCUUUUUAUUAUUUUAAGAGAGUUAGUGAGGUUUGUAAAGGGGGGUGUGACAGCAAUUGCGAAUAGUGGUCGCAAAUGUGAGUGUAGCAGGUGCUGAAGGGUUUGCAAUUGCGAACCUUGGUCGCAAUUGCGAUAUUUACGACCUGCAAAUUCAUAACUUAGCCGAAAAUUUAUCAUUUUACAAACCCUUUCAAAACCAAAACACUCUAGGGCGAUUUUUCAAAGACAAGUACUCUUCCAAAUCGAUGUAAGUCAUUUGUAACUUGUUUUUAUUAAUCUUUAACAUCUUUUCUCAUGAUUUCAACUCAAAAUCAAAGGUUUUCAUGGAGAAAAUUGGGUGUUUUGGGUAGAACCUAGGUUUUUAAAAUUUUGGGGAUUUGGACCUCGAUUUGAGGUCCGAUUUCAAAACAAAUUGUAUAUUUGGGUUCGUGGGGGAAUGGGUAAUCGGGUUUUGGUUCGAACCUCGGGUUUUGACCAUGUGGGCCUGGGGGCGAUUUUUGACUUUUUAGGAAAACCUUUAGAAAACAUAUUUUCAUGCAUUAGAAUUGAUUCAUUUAGCAUUUAUUUAUAUAGUUAAGUAACUUGUGGCUAGAUACGAGCGAAUUGGUGGUGGAAUCAAGAGGUAAAGCAAUAGUUGAGGCUUGAAUUGUGUUUGUGGCAUCGAGGUAAGUGUUUGGUCUAACCUUAGCUUGAAGGAUUAAGAGUUGUGUCUUAUUUGCUACGUGUUAAUUGUGGAGUACGAUGUAUAGGCAUGGUAACGAGUAUCUAUACGUCGGUGUGAAGCAUGCCCGUGAGUCUUGCAUUGUAAUUUUUAUGACUCCGUUGUGGUUUAUUCGUGCUUCAUAUGAGAAUUAUAUUGUUGUUCCCUUGCUGGGAUGUUGUUGUUACAUUAUUAUUCCCUUGCUGGGAUGUUGUUGUUAUACUAUUGCUCCCUUGCCGGGAUUCUUUUAUGAUUGGUGUUAAUAAAUGAAAUGAGAGCGGAUUGCACGCCUGCAACGGUAAUUCAUGAAAUGGGAGCGGGUUGCACGCCUGCAACGGUAAUACAUGAAAUGGGAGCGGGUUGCACGUUUGCAACAGUAAUACAUGAAAUGGGAGCGGGUUGCACACCUGCAACUGUACUAUAUGAAAUGGGAGCGGGUUACACGCCUGAAACGGUACUAUAUGAAAUGGGAUUGGGUUGCACGCAUGCAAUGGUAUUACAUGUGUACUUGUUUUUCUUAUUUCCUUAUCUUUUGUUGGUAAUUGAUUUAUGGCGUUCCUUACAUUUCUCUAUUGUUAUCUGUUACUCCCUGUAACAUUUUUCCCCCGCCCAACUUUAGCUGUAAUUAUCUGCUUUUAUUUCCGUUGUAUAUGAUUUAACUGCACAAAUUUAUUUGGUAGUCUGGUCCUAGCCUCGUCACUACUUCGCCGAGGUUAGGCUAGGCACUUACCAGCACAUGGGGUCGGUUGUGCUGAUACUACACUCUGCACUAUGUGCAGAUACUGAUAUCGGAGCAUUUGGACCGCAGUGAUAGUGUUGUCUCCAGUCCACUCAGGCGACCCGAGAUAGUCCUGCAGACAUCCGGGGGCCUUGGCGUCUCCUCC